UUGCCACCCAUGCUGCCCUGCCUGGGGGACUCAGCCUGCUCCUCUGCUUAGCUCCUGGCUCCCCUCCGUGGGCUCCCCUCCGUGGGCUCCUGUGGGCCCUCUUGCUCCCUUCCAUCAUGGCAGCCCAGCUGUGCUGUCCAUGCAGGCCGAGGCCUGCCUUGCCCCAUCCUGGCUGUGUCCCCAGCAAUGACAGCACCUGCCAGCACAUCCCUGGUGCUCAGGGAACGCUGGAGGACUUGGACUGACUUGGGCAGGGGCCGGGGUCUCCCUUGGGUCAGCUCUGCUUGGCUUUAGAAGGUGCAGGCAGAGGAGGGGCUGGACUGACGGGUGACCUGGACGGGCCGCCUCUCAUUCUCUGCAGUCUCCCCCCUUUAGAUGGACCCUCGUCACCGGGCAGGAGGCUCCCGUGCCUGGGUUCCCACGCAGCACCCCCACACCUGGCCUCCUCGCUCCCUCUGACGGGGCUCUGAUGCCCACACUAGGUGACCCCACGUGUGGGUGCCCUUCGCCCCACUGUAUGCUGACACCCCCCCCACAGGCCACCUGCCUACCUGGGCCCCCUCCUCACCCUCCCACGCCACCUGCCUGGGUCUUCCAUUCCCCGUGCCCCCCACCCCCAUGAAGACAUUUCCUUGGCGGCACCGGCUGGCUUUAGGACUAGAGUGUUCAGAAGAAGUUCGG
rnacentral:lncRNA from 1 species